ensembl:snRNA predicted gene, 23827
AUGCUUACCUGGCCGUGCAGAGACCAUGAUGGUGAAGGCAGCUCUCCCAGAGGGAGGCUUAGUUGUUCACCCUGUGACCUCUCCAGAUAUGGGAAACUCAACUGCAUAGCUGUUACAGUGAGGAACUGUAUUCAAACUCUCCCCU